UACGGAGGGUGCAAGCGUUGUCCGGAAUCACUGGGCGUAAAGGGCGCGUAGGCGGCUCAUAAAGGCUGUGGUGAAAGUUCGGGGCUCAACCUCGAAUCGGCCGUGGCGACUUGUGGGCUGGAGCACUGUAGAGGCGGGUGGAAUUCCGGGUGUAGCGGUGGAAUGCGUAGAGAUCCGGAAGAACACCAGUGGCGAAGGCGGCCCGCUGGGCAGUGGCUGACGCUGAGGCGCGACAGCGUGGGGAGCAAACAGGG
rnacentral:rRNA from 1 species